CCAGAGAGUGAUGUCUCAGCUGCUUUCCUCCAGAUCUCGACUGCCCUCUGGCCACGCCCCUGUUUCUGGAAGGCUCCAGGCUGCAACUAACGCUGUUUUGUUAAAUGAAGAUGUUCCAAACUUGAUCUCCUAGGACCUUUUGAGGUGAGAACCAUCCAUCCAUCUGUCCUACAGGCACACCUCUAUUGAUCUGAAGGACAAAGCCAGCAAAAUAAGUUGUCAGUCUUCAUGAUCCAUUCCGUGGCGAGCUGGGAAAAAACGCAGUUGCUAAAUCAACGUCUGAACAGUGUGAGGCUCCUGCCGUCCCAGGAGUCCCUGUGCAAGUGUCCUGAGCACGAGAUCACUGCGCACAGAAGACAGUCCGUCGCAGAGCGCCGACUACCUACAAAGCUCUGAGAGGGGCGCGUCCCUCUUGUGUCUCCUCUUUUUGCCAUGGUAACACUGAGUAUUGGAUUUGCCUGGAUGCUGUUUGCUUGUCAUCAAGGCACCAUGGCUGGUUUGAGCUGUACCUUGGAAGCCUUUGCUGGAAGAACGGAAGAGCCUUGCUGAUCCAUGCUGCGGAAGAAGAGAGCAGUGAGAAACACAGCAGAGCUGUCCACACGCAAACCUGAAUGCAGGGGAAGCUCCCAAAACUAGAAAUGGGUAGGCAUGCCACAUAACAUGGCACCCCACU
rnacentral:lncRNA from 1 species